rnacentral:rRNA from 1 species
CAGUAGCCGCGGUAAUACGAAGGGGGCUAGCGUUGUUCGGAUUAACUGGGCGUAAAGGGCGCGUAGGCGGAUCUUUAAGUCAGGGGUGAAAUCCCGAAGCUCAACCUCGGAACUGCCUUUGAUACUGGAGAUCUUGAGUCCGGGAGAGGUGAGUGGAACUGCGAGUGUAGGGGUGAAAUUCGUAGAUAUUCGCAAGAACACCAGUGGCGAAGGCGGCUCACUGGCCCGGUACUGACGCUGAGGCGCGAAAGCGUGGGGAGCAAACAGGAUUAGAUACCCCCGUAGUCCCUGUCUCUUAUAC